rnacentral:rRNA from 1 species
UACGUAGGUGGCAAGCGUUGUCCGGAUUUACUGGGCGUAAAGGGCGCGUAGGCGGUGUGUCAAGUCAGGCGUGAAAGCCCCGGGCUCAACCUGGGAACCGCGCUUGAGACUGGCACGCUAGAGUUCGGGAGAGGAUGGUGGAAUUCCCAGUGUAGAGGUGAAAUUCGUAGAUAUUGGGAAGAACACCGAUGGCGAAGGCAGCCAUCUGGACCGACACUGACGCUGAGGCGCGAAAGCGUGGGGAGCAAACAGG